UACAAUUUCAGGGCUCAACCUCAACCUACAAGCUCUCACCUGCCUUUUCUUUCUUCCAAGACAUUUGAGCCCUUUUCUUUCUUUAUCAAAUUAGCACAAUAAAGCUUCCCAAGACCAUUGUUUUUAUAGUUUUUAGCAAUGGCUUCUCCACCAGACACAAGCAAGACCAUAAAGCUUGAGAGGUAUAACAGCUACCUUCGCAGGAUUCACAGUACUAAAGUACUCAAUGCCUCCUCUAAGCUUCUCUUCCGCGCCACUCUCCUUAUUGCUCUUGUUCUUAUUCUUUUCUUCACCAUUAAUUACCCUCCUCUUUCUGAUCAUCCUCAACAUCUCCACCAUCCCCACCACCACAGCUUCCUCUCCACCUCUUUCUUUGCCUCUUCCUCUGCUGUCGGUGGCGCCGCCUGGGAAAAAAAGAUCCGUCACUCCUCUACCCCUCGAAGGCCCAAUGGCUUCUCUGUCUUGGUCACUGGUGCUGCUGGGUUUGUUGGAUCACACUGCUGUCUUGCCUUGAAAAAGAGAGGAGACGGGGUUCUUGGGUUGGAUAAUUUCAACAGCUAUUACGACCCAUCAUUGAAAAGGGCCAGACAGAAACUUCUGCUCAAACACCAAGUGUUUAUCGUUGAAGGAGACCUUAAUGAUGCACCAUUGUUAGCCAAGCUCUUCGACGUGGUGCCCUUUACUCAUAUCCUGCAUCUGGCAGCCCAAGCUGGGGUUCGCUACGCCAUGCAAAACCCACAAUCCUACGUUAGCUCUAACAUUGCAGGUUUCGUCAAUCUUCUCGAGGUUGCCAAAGCAGCAAAUCCACAACCAGCCAUCGUCUGGGCUUCUUCUAGCUCCGUUUAUGGUCUUAACACCCAAGUCCCCUUCUCUGAAACGCACAGGACAGAUCAACCUGCCAGUCUUUAUGCAGCUACAAAGAAAGCAGGAGAAGAAAUUGCCCAUACUUACAACCAUAUCUACGGGCUUUCCCUUACAGGGCUAAGAUUUUUUACAGUUUAUGGUCCCUGGGGAAGACCUGACAUGGCUUACUUCUUCUUUACAAAGGAUAUUUUACAAGGCAAACCCAUAGAUAUAUACCAGACACAGGAUGAGAAACAGGUGGCUCGUGACUUCACAUAUAUUGACGAUGUGGUGAAAGGGUGUGUAGGGGCCUUGGACACGGCGAGGAAGAGCACAGGAAGCGGUGGAAAAAAGAAAGGGCCAGCACAGCUAAGAGUAUACAAUCUUGGAAACACAUCCCCUGUUCCUGUAGGGAAAUUGGUUUCGAUAUUGGAAUCCUUACUGAACACAAAAGCCAAGAAGCAUGUGAUUAAGAUGCCAAGAAAUGGGGACGUGCCCUAUACACAUGCCAAUGUAAGCUUGGCUUACAGAGACUUUGGGUACAAGCCAACCACAGAUUUGAGCUCAGGAUUGAGGAAAUUUGUCAAGUGGUAUGUAAGUUAUUAUGGGAUUCAUACAAGGGUAAAAAAGGAUAGUGAAAUCAGAAGUGAGCAUCCCGAGGAUUGAACUUGGGACAAUUCAUCAUAUCAUCAUCUUUAUCACCGCAUGGUUGAUGAUCCUUUUAAAUUAUUUUCUUUUUCUUUUUUAGAUUAAUUUAUAAAUUCUGCUCUCUGUUUUUUUUUUCCUCCUGAAGUGAAAAAGUUGGAGCUGUUGUUGUUGAUGGUGUAGCAUAUAGAGAUUACAGAUGGAUUUCAUAGAAAGAGAAGAUAAAUGUGAAUCAAGAAAUUAAAGAAAAAAGAAGGAAGAAGGACAAGUUGUGUAGAUGUGUGAGGUUGGGGUGAAAUAAUAAUUUUGGUGGGCUCCUGCUUAAAAGCUUGCAGAUCUCGGCCAUUAGAUUCAUAUUUAAAAGAAAAAAAAUUGUAAUGAACAGUGACUUCAAAAUUCUUCUUUCUAUGUGCUUUUCAUUUUUUUUUUGUUUCUUUCUUUCUUUUCUUUUUUUCCUUUGUUGAGAUAUAUAUAAAUAUAUACAUAUACCAUCUUCUUAUCUCAAUUUAUUUAAUAAUUUUGUCGAUAUUUGAUCAUUGAAAUCAAAUUCAAGACUCUAUUUGGUAAAAGGUGAGAAUUAAAU
rnacentral:misc_RNA from 1 species